CGAUGCCAAAUUCUCCCUACUUCUCAUUCUUCCCUCUGCCCCUCUUGCGGUUGACUCGACACCAAGGCCGGAGGAGCUCGUCACCAGAUCUCGAUGGAAGCUAGCGAAGUCACCGAAGCUCGACGGUGCUGAGGGAAACCUAGCUGUAUCCGACCAAGAGAUCAUUAUUUCGAGAGUUUCAUCGACCGAUCGUCGACGAUACGGCGGCUAGGGCACGAUGAGGAGCCGGAUCUCGCAUCGUCUCCGACUAGUAGGCCUUCCCUCUCCUCCCCUCGUGUUGUUCAUAGAGCAAUCCACACUUCCUUUCUUGAAUUGGGCAGCGACGCCAUCGGGAGGUGAUCCUGAGAGGUCACAGAUUUAGAGAUGUAUCAAGGAUGUGUUCUUGAGCUACCAGGCAGAGGCUAGAAGGAUGGUUGAUUGAUCGUUAAUUUUCCUGUUUAGUCUCUGUUGCCGAUCACUGCAAGAUCUCCACUUGAUCCGAAUUUAUUUGCAUCAGGGAGGAUCUAUUUUGUGAAGGUUAUUUUGAUUCCAACAACACCUCUUUGGCUGCGGAUGAAUAGCAGAGGUUGGAGAUUGAGGGAAGCGAUCUGGGCCGUUGAUUGAGAGCUUAAGUCAUCCAAGGGUUUAUUUAGAACUUCAAUUUAAUUUUAGAUCAAAGAAGAGAGAAGCCCAAAUCAAUCCUCAAGCCACUCUUAAAGCCCAAUUCAUAAACUUUUAGCCCAAUUUCAAUCCUUAUUGGAUUCGGAUCUAAGCCCUAAUGGACCCAAACCCGAAACCAUUAAGAAACUUACCUGACCCGUUAAGAAAAUUCCCUCUUCUUCUCCUCACACACGGCACAGUAGUGUUCGGCUCGCGUUUUCCUCUUCCAGUGGCUAGGGCACACCAGCGCCACCUCUCCUUCCUUUCUUCUCUUCGGCUAGCGGCUUCUCCUCUUUCCUUCCUUGCCGCCGGCCGGUCCUCCACAUCCUUUCCCUCUUCCUGGCGUCUGCAUCGGCUAGGGCACGCGAGUCCGGCGCCCUUUCCUCUUUCUCCCGAUCGAAGACGACGAAGCGACAGCGACGAUUUCCGGCAGAUCUGCACCAGCGACGUUCACUGGGCCUUGCUGGAGAGGUUUCUCCAGAAGGUUCUUCAUCCACCUCGCAUCCAGUCGAGUUUCCUGCUGGGCACGGUGAAGAAGGUAGUGAUUCUCCGACGAGGCUUCGAGUUUUGGGUAUUCUCCAGCGUUCAUUCCAUUUCCCUCUACAGCAGCAACGGAGCUCAAGGUCUCUGCCGGAAACAGUGAAGAAGGCAGCGAUUUAGGGUUCCAGCACCCAAUUCCCCUUCGUCAGAGAAUUUCCAGCCGGAUUUCUUCCAUGCACUGAUACCACACGACUCGUUCCUGCCGGACACGGUGAAGAUGGCAGCAUAGGGUUGACAGUUCUUGGAUGUUUUCCUUCGUUUCCAGCAGCUUUCCAAGGAGAGGUUUCUUCAAGGAUUUCGCGCUUCCACCGCCGUUGGUUGCAGUUCCGACCAGUAACGUCAGCCGUCCAGCGGAUUCAGGAGAUUUCCGAGUGACAGUGGUCUUCUUCCUCGGUGAUUCUGUAGUGAUAGACAAAAUAUUUUAUUGUGUUUGAUUGUGGAGAAGUGGAUUGGUUAAUUACGAUUUAUUUGUUGUUCUUGUUUCAUUUUAUAGUUAAGUUCUUAUGCUUGUUUAAUGUUUAGUUGUUAGUUUAAUUUCGUGUUCAAUCUUCUUAUGAUGCAUGUUAAUUAGUUUUGAUACUUUGUUUAGUUCAUUAUGUAUGAUUGUUGAUUUUGUAUCAUAGCGUGACAAUAUGGUACAAGUUUAGCUUUUAUACAUAAUUAGGUUUUGUUUAAUUGUCGUUAAGUUUGUUUA